rnacentral:rRNA from 1 species
AGAACGAACGCUGGCGGCAUGCCUAACACAUGCAAGUCGAACGCUCUUGGGGCUUCGGUUCCAAGGGAGUGGCGCACGGGUGAGUAACACGUGACUAACCUACCUUCAAGUGGGGGAUAACCUCGGGAAACCGGGGCUAAUACCGCAUAACAUCUUUGGAGUGGAAAUUCUGGAGAUCAAAGGAGCAAUUCGCUGGAAGAGGGGGUCGCGGCUGAUUAGCUAGUUGGCGGGGUAAUGGCCCACCAAGGCUUUGAUCGGUA